rnacentral:rRNA from 1 species
UACUCCUACGGGAGGCAGCAGUGGGGAAUAUUGGACAAUGGGCGAAAGCCUGAUCCAGCCAUGCCGCGUGUGUGAAGAAGGUCUUCGGAUUGUAAAGCACUUUAAGUUGGGAGGAAGGGCAGUAAGUUAAUACCUUGCUGUUUUGACGUUACCAACAGAAUAAGCACCGGCUAACUUCGUGCCAGCAGCCGCGGUAAUACGAAGGGUGCAAGCGUUAAUCGGAAUUACUGGGCGUAAAGCGCGCGUAGGUGGUUCAGCAAGUUGGAUGUGAAAUCCCCGGGCUCAACCUGGGAACUGCAUCCAAAACUACUGAGCUAGAGUACGGUAGAGGGUGGUGGAAUUUCCUGUGUAGCGGUGAAAUGCGUAGAUAUAGGAAGGAACACCAGUGGCGAAGGCGACCACCUGGACUGAUACUGACACUGAAGUGCGAAAGCGUGGGGAGCAAACAGGAUUAGAUACCCUGGUAGUCCACGCCGUAAACGAUGUCGACUAGCCGUUGGGAUCCUUGAGAUCUUAGUGGCGCAGCUAACGCGAUAAGUCGACCGCCUGGGGAGUACGGCCGCAAGGUUAAAACUCAAAUGAAUUGACGGA